rnacentral:rRNA from 1 species
CUGCCUGCCACAGCCGGAUAAUCGGGAGAAAUUCCGUCUAAUACGGCAUAAUGCAUCGACGGGACAUCCUGUUGGUGCCAAAGGUUAAUUCCGGUGGCGGAUGGGCAUGCGUCGCAUUAGUCAGUUGGCGGUGUAACGGACCACCAAGACGACGAUGCGUAGGGGUUCUGAGAGGAAGGUCCCCCACACUGGUACUGAGACACGGACCAGACUCCUACGGGAGGCAGCAGUGAGGAAUAUUGGUCAAUGGGCGGGAGCCUGAACCAGCCAAGUCGCGUGAGGGAUGACGGCCCUAUGGGUUGUAAACCUCUUUUGCCGGGGAGCAAAGUGCCGCACGUGUGCGGUUUGGAGAGUACCCGGAGAAAAAGCAUCGGCUAACUCCGUGCCAGCAGCCGCGGUAAUACGGAGGAUGCGAGCGUUAUCCGGAUUUAUUGGGUUUAAAGGGUGCGUAGGCGGACGCUUAAGUCAGCGGUAAAAUUGCGGGGCUCAACCUCGUCGAGCCGUUGAAACUGGGUGCCUUGAGUGGGCGAGAAGUACGCGGAAUGCGUGGUGUAGCGGUGAAAUGCAUAGAUAUCACGCAGAACUCCGAUUGCGAAGGCAGCGUACCGGCGCCCAACUGACGCUGAAGCACGAAGGCGUGGGUAUCGAACAGGAUUAGAUACCCUGGUAGUCCACGCAGUAAACGAUGA